rnacentral:tRNA from 1 species
GCCUGGUUAGUUCAGUUGGUAGAACAUGAGACUCUUUAUUUCAGGGUUGUGGGUUCGUGCCCCAUGUUGGGUG